UGACGUUUCGGGUCGAGACCCUUCACACAGAGUUAGGGGAGAGGGAGACACAGAGAUAAGGAAGUGCAGGGUGUGAGAACGAGACAUCAAAGGGGAUGAAACUCAAGGAAAAUUUAAAAUAGAUUAUUUUGUUAGCUAGAGGGUAGACAACAAAACAAAUAGAGAUAAAAAUGUAAUCGGGAACAUUCAGACUGGUCGGAGAACUGCGAAGGGGAAGGGAUGUAGAGAGGGAAAGCAAGGGUUACUUGAAGUUAGAGAAAUCAAUAUUCAUACCGCUAGGGUGUAAGCUGCUCAAGAGAAAUAUGAGGUGAUGUUUCUUAUCUCUGUGACUCCUUCUCCCCUAACUUUCAGUUUGAAGAAGGGUCUCGACCAGAAAUGUCACCCAUUCCUUUUCUCCAGAGAUGCUGCCUGUCCCGCUGAGUUACUCCAGCAUUUUGUGUCCAUCUUCGGUGUAAGCCAGCAUCUGCAGUUCCUUCCUAGACAGAAGUUGUGAUGGUUUGUUACAACUUUACAAAAUAUUGGUUAGGUCACACGGUUCUGGUCACCACACCACAGGAAGGAUGUGGAUGUAGUGGAGAGAGCGCAGAGGAGCUUCACAAGGAAGGGAUGUUGCAUGGAUUGAAGGAUCCAAGUUAUGGGGCGUGAUCGGACAGGCUGGGCUUGUUUUCUCUGUACUGAAGCCGGAGCCCAAGGGGUGUCUGAGGCAGAGAUAGGAUAGUCAGAAAGUUGUUUUCUGUGGCAGAUAGCAAACAAGAGGAUGUAGGUUUAAAGUGAGAGAAUGGGGUUUGAAAGGGGAUUGGAAGGGAAAGUUUUAUUUUACUUCACUGAUAUCUAAAACUCGCUGCCAGAGGAAAUGGUGGAAUCAGAUAUGAUAAGUACAUUAAAAUAGAUAAUGCAUAGAACGAUAUGAAACUGACAAGCA